rnacentral:rRNA from 1 species
UACAGAGGUGGCAAGCGUUGUUCGGAAUUACUGGGCGUAAAGGGCGCGUAGGCGGCUUGGUCAGUCCCGUGUGAAAUCCCUCGGCUCAACUGAGGAACUGCACGGGAAACUGCCUGGCUUGAGUUCGGGAGAGGGAAGCGGAAUUCCGGGUGGUAGCGGUGAAAUGCGUAGAUAUCCGGAGGAACACCGGUGGCGAAGGCGGCUUCCUGGACCGACACUGACGCUGAGGCGCGAAAAGCGUGGGGAGC